AUGCUAUAGAAUUCAGAGCAGGUGAAGAUACUAUGUAGCUCAAGAUUUCAGAAAAUUGGAAAGGGUAUUUAAAAUAAACCUUAAAAUUAAUGUUUAACCAAAAGCUUAUUAUUAAAAAAGUUUAAUCUCAAAUCAUGCGAACACAAGUCAGUGACAUGAUGACUAUACAUACCACUCUGCAUUGAGAGGACUUCAACAACUUAACAAUACGAAUAAAUAAGCUCAAUAGUUAGGAAUAUGUGAAUGCUCCUCUUUUUCACACACUAAAUCUCAAGAUCAAUUUAAAGCAGGAAUGACAACCACAACACAGAGAGCCAAAGCAAAACUAGGUUAGUGCAUUAACUUUGAAUCCAAUGCAAACUUUCUGAAGCCAGGCAAACCAGAAAAGUUUAAGCUAACAUAAGGGUCUGAAGUAGCCCCCAAAUGGCAAUGUGAUUAAUUAUACAAAUGAAAUUUACUAAAACAAGAUUAACGUCCAUUUCUACAAAAGCCACUGUCAACAGUGCUUCAUAAAUGGAACGGCCUCACUUUCACUCAAUUAGCAACAUUCAGGCAGGGCUCUGGGAUGUUUUAGUUGUUUGUUUUUUGAUUUAACCUUUUUCACUCUCCCUGAAUUUCCAACUGCAGGAUUGAAUUUUGAUUGCUGAAGGAAGGUAUACUAGGAAUGGAGAACCCGAAGGUGAGGGGCUGAAGAGAAACACCUGGAAUGGAGCAGAAGGAGAAAAAGCUGCAGAGACACACAGAGGAAUGUACUAUGUGAUGAUGAAGGCAAAGAUUGCUCUACGUGCCAAGGAACAUGCGGUAUUCCUGGUAAGAACCAGAAAAGAAUAAUUGUGGAACAGAUUCUUGCUCAGAGCCUCCAGAAGAAACCAAGUCUGCCAACUCCUUACUUUUGGACUUCUGGUUUCCAGAAUUGUGAGAGAAUAAAUUUUUGUCAUUUUCAGUGAUGAAGUUUGCUGUAAUUUGUUAUACCAUCCCUAGGAAACUAAUGCAUUACUUUACAAGUGUUAAUUCAUUUAUCUCGCAUAAUAGCUGUAUGAAUUA
rnacentral:lncRNA from 1 species